GGCCUGGCCCUUAUAAAGCUCAGGGCUGAGGCCAGGCUGGCAGUUCCCUGCCAACAGCUGGAGAGGCAGGAGCUCCUUUGGCUGAGAGAUGGGUAGAAGUCCGAUGGCCAGUACAGCUUGUGAGAGCUCCGAAGCUGGGAAGACCGAAGACAGAAGAAUGGAGCAACUUGCCUGAGAUCACCCAGCAGGCUAAUGGCACAGUUGGAAACAGCAUUCAGGUCUCCGGAGUCCUAGUCCAAUGACUUACUCAAUAUUAAAAGCAUGUUGUUUUCCUUUAAGAAAAAUAGCUGUAUGAAAGAUGAUGAAAAAUUCUAAGAAUGAAAGCAAAAGCAGACAACAGGAAGAAAGUGGAGAGAUUGUUUGAAGACAGGAGUUUGCAUGGCCAGUGCAAGCAAUCAGCUUCAAAAACCCACAUCCUGAGUCAUAACAGAACUGGAACAUGGUCCAACUGCAUUUUUUUCUUCAAAUUCAAAACCACAAAAAUAUUCAGCUGCCUGUAUCACUUUUAGAAAGUCUACAGGGUCAUAAAAAUGUAUAGUCCCAUAUUGAGUCAAGUCACAGGCUUCUCCUUAGAUACACCCACCUGAAACUGAAAUAAUUCCCUGCACACAUUUCUACCCUGCAUUGGUGUAAAACCCAGAACUGGAGUGAAAAUAAAGGCUUCAUACCUUUCUUAAACUGGCUAGUGAGGACCACUUCAGCUCCUGGAGCAGGUGACAGCAUCCUGGUACCUGCUCCAACUAAUGCUCCUGGGGGUCCAAUUGACGUAGUAUCAACUCAGGAACUGCCAGAGCACAGGAUUGUCUCAGUCACAAUGACAUUUUAUUAAGUAAAAUCAUUGUGAUUUAUGCAUAGCUAGUUAGCAUUUUGUUCUAAAAGUAUAGACAGUGGGAUACUAGGUUUUUCAAAACAGGCAGUCUGUUUCUGCUCUAAACCAGGACUAAUUAUCUCAGAUCCAAUGGUGUUACAACCUGGGUGAGAGGAGAAUUAUGCCCAGAGAGGUAAUGAGACCUGCCUAGUGCAAAUCAGUGAUUCAGUGGUACAGCUGAGAAUAGGACACAGGACUUGCUGUCAGCCCUACAUGCAGGUACACUACAUACAUCUCAGCCUUCCUCUGCACAGAGAAGGCAGCUUUCAGUUCCAGUUACUUCCUUUUUAUUCAGGGUGGCAGGAAUAACCCUAUCAGGCAAGCAGCCUUCCCUGUAAGGUACACCCUUUAUCUGUCAGAAGAUCCCAGCUGAAUGGAAAGCAGAAUAAUUUUAAAAUGCUAAAGGCCAUUUUUUUUAGACAGCCAAGGCUGCCUUUUUAUCACUCAUUACUUGGCACACUAAAUAAUGUGAUUAGGCCCCAUGUGAACAGCUUCCACAUCUGGAAGGAGCACCUACCCCAGUGACAAGUUGUCACAGCCUGUCAUCUCAAAUGGCAGAGAAACAGAAGCUGCAGGAAGCCUCAGCUGUCAAGGGCACGGGGGAGCAUGCAGCAGGAGGGGAUAGCUGCUGUACUGAGCAGUCUUGCUGCUGUCAUCUCCAGAAUGAAUACCCCUUGUUCACUUCCCUCAUGCCAUGCACUCUCAUCAGAUCUCCCACUAUCUUCCCCACCCCCCUUAUCACUGACUAGUCCUGGGGAAUGUUAAUGUGAGUAUCCUGCUAACCACUGUAAAUUGCUCCCUUUGCAUGAAUGGCAAGCACUGUUUGGAACUAGGUUUAGCUAGAAGCUUCACUCUGCUAAUUAGAAACACUUUUGGUAUGUUUUUCAUUCUUCUUCUUCCCCAAAAAGCUGAUUUGAAAUCAUCAGCCGAUUUCCUGCAUCACAAGAGGUGUAAUUAUUUUCUAAUCUUCCGUAGAGACCAGGAUGUGUCAAGAACUGAUUAAGUCAAAUAGUCAUCUUCCAUAUUGUUCAAUUGUGUUGGCUGUUCUCAUACUCUGGGCAAUAAUCACAUUCAGAGGCUUGCAAUAUAGGCCUUCUAAAACCAGGCGGAUGCCAUCAUUACUUUCCCUGGGAAAAGUGCCUCACCUCAGGAUCAUUAUCCCCUCUGUAAAGAACAUGAAAUACCUAUGUGUAUGUGCACAGCUGUGGAGAGGAUGGUGCUACAGGAAAUACAGGGAGUGAUUUGAUCAUCAGCCUUUGAGCAUUUUACCUCUACUUUCACCACUACCUCUCUGCUGGGACCACCGCUUUGGGAUGACCCUAUGUACUUUGGGAUGAUAUGUCUGCCCUGUGUACUAUGCCAUGCUUUUGUAGGCCCUAAAUCAGGGGUGGGCAAGAUGCAGCCCGCCAGGCCAUUCUAUUCAGCCUGUGGGGCCCCUAAAAAAUUUAGAAAAUUAAUAUUUAUCUGCCCUGGGCUGCCUGUCAUGCAGCCCUCAAUGGCUUGCCAAACCUCAGUAAGCGGCCCUCUGCCCAAAAUAAUUUCCCGCCCCUGCCCUAGAUGCAUGCCUGAAGAGUUUAUGUGGAGCCCGUAAGGUUUCAUUACCCCUGCUGAAGAAGCUUGCUUUUCUUCAAUGCCCAAUGAGGUUUUGAUGUGUUUUUGAGGAAGCAAAGUGUCUAUGACUCCAUUGAUCAUUCUGCUUUGUGGAGUGAGAUGCUAAAAAUAAAGACUUGAGGAUACACUA